GAUCAUUAUUGAAAUAAACUUGAUAAGUUGCUGCUGGUUCUCUAGGGAACAUUGUGCACACUUGUCAUCUUUGUAUCUUCACCUGUGCACCUUUUGUAGACCUGACUAUCUCUCUGAAUGCNNNUGCCUAUAAACCUUUACAACUUUCAGCAACGGAUCUCUUGGCUCUCGCAUCGAUGAAGAACGCAGCGAAAUGCGAUAAGUAAUGUGAAUUGCAGAAUUCAGUGAAUCAUCGAAUCUUUGAACGCACCUUGCGCUCCUUGGUAUUCCGAGGAGCAUGCCUGUUUGAGUGCCAUUAAUAUUAUCAACCUUUUUGGUUGGAUUUGGGUUUGCUGGCCUUAAUGAGGUCAGCUCCCCUUAAAUGCAUUAGCAGACAACAUUUUGCCAACUGUUCAUUGGUGUGAUAAUUAUCUACGCUAUUGACAUGAAGCAAAGGUUCAGCUUCUAACUGUCCAUUGACUUGGACAACUUUAUUAAUAUGACCU
rnacentral:rRNA from 1 species